rnacentral:rRNA from 1 species
UACGUAGGUGACAAGCGUUAUCCGGAUUUACUGGGCGUAAAGGGCGCGUAGGCGGAUAAUUAAGUGGGAUGUGAAAUACCCGGGCUCAACCUGGGUGCUGCAUUCCAAACUGGUUAUCUAGAGUGCAGGAGAGGAGAGUGGAAUUCCUAGUGUAGCGGUGAAAUGCGUAGAGAUUAGGAAGAACACCAGUGGCGAAGGCGACUCUCGGGACUGUAACUGACGCUGAGGCUCGAAAGCGUGGGGAGCAAACAGG